AUUGAACGCUGGCGGCAGGCCUAACACAUGCAAGUCGAGCGGGGUUUUCGGACCUAGCGGCGGACGGGUGAGUAAUGCCUAGGAAUCUGCCUGGUAGUGGGGGAUAACGUCCGGAAACGGGCGCUAAUACCGCAUACGUCCUACGGGAGAAAGCAGGGGACCUUCGGGCCUUGCGCUAUCAGAUGAGCCUAGGUCGGAUUAGCUAGUUGGUGAGGUAAGGGCUCACCAAGGCUACGAUCCGUAACUGGUCUGAGAGGAUGAUCAGUCACACUGGAACUGAGACACGGUCCAGACUCCUACGGGAGGCAGCAGUGGGGAAUAUUGGACAAUGGGCGAAAGCCUGAUCCAGCCAUGCCGCGUGUGUGAAGAAGGUCUUCGGAUUGUAAAGCACUUUAAGUUGGGAGGAAGGGCAGUAAGUUAAUACCUUGCUGUUUUGACGUUACCGACAGAAUAAGCACCGGCUAACUCUGUGCCAGCAGCCGCGGUAAAAC
rnacentral:rRNA from 1 species